CCACACAGGUGGUCAGGUAGAGAAUACCGAGGCGAUCGGGCGAACUGUGGUUAAGGAACUCGGCAAAUUACCCCCGUAACUUCGGGAGAAGGGGGGCCACAGACCGUGAAACCCCAUGCGGGUGGCAGCGGUAGGUGGCCGCAGAGACCAGGGGGAAGCGACUGUUUACUAAAAACACAGGUCCGUGCGAAGUCGUAAGACGAUGUAUACGGACUGACGCCUGCCCGGUGCUGGAACGUUAAGGGGACCGGUUAGUCCGCAAGGGCGAAGCUGAGAACUUAAGCGCCAGUAAACGGCGGUGGUAACUAUAACCAUCCUAAGGUAGCGAAAUUCCUUGUCGGGUAAGUUCCGACCUGCACGAAUGGCGUAACGACUUCCCUACUGUCUCAACCACAGGCCCGGCGAAAUUGCACUACGAGUAAAGAUGCUCGUUACGCGCGGAAGGACGGAAAGACCCCGGGACCUUCACUAUAGCUUGACAUUGGUACUCGAAUUGGAUUGUGUAGGAUAGGUGGGAGACUAUGAAGCUCGGACGCCAGUCCGGGUGGAGUCAACGUUGAAAUACCACUCUGUUGAAUUUGGGUAUCUAACUUCGGACCGUGAUCCGGUUCAGGGACAGUGUCUGGUGGGUAGUUUAACUGGGGCGGUUGCCUCCUAAAAUGUAACGGAGGCGCCCAAAGGUUCCCUCAGCCUGGUUGGCAAUCAGGUGUUGAGUGCAAGUGCACAAGGGAGCUUGACUGUGAGACUGACAGGUCGAGCAGGGACGAAAGUCGGGACUAGUGAUCCGGCACCGGCGAGUGGAAGCGGUGUCGCUCAACGGAUAAAAGGUACCCCGGGGAUAACAGGCUGAUCUUCCCCAAGAGUCCAUAUCGACGGGAUGGUUUGGCACCUCGAUGUCGGCUCGUCGCAUCCUGGGGCUGGAGUAGGUCCCAAGGGUUGGGCUGUUCGCCCAUUAAAGCGGCACGCGAGCUGGGUUUAGAACGUCGUGAGACAGUUCGGUCCCUAUCCUCCGCGCGCGCAGGAGACUUGAGAAGAGCUGUCCCUAGUACGAGAGGACCGGGACGGACGAACCUCUGGUGUGCCAGUUGUCAUGCCAAUGGCACGGCUGGUUAGCUACGUUCGGAAGGGAUAACCGCUGAAAGCAUCUAAGCGGGAAGCCUGCUUCAAGAUGAGGUCUCCCACCCCUCGAGGGUUAAGGCCCCCAGCAAGACCACUGGGUUGAUAGGCCAGAAGUGUAAGCCUGGUAACAGGUUCAGCCGACUGGUACUAAUAGGCCGAGGACUUCACC
rnacentral:rRNA from 1 species